rnacentral:rRNA from 1 species
AUUACCGCGGCUGCUGGCACGUAGUUAGCCGUGGCUUUCUAUUCCGGUACCGUCAAUCCUUCUCACUAUUCGCAAGAAGGCCUUUCGUCCCGAUUAACAGAGCUUUACAACCCGAAGGCCGUCAUCACUCACGCGGCGUUGCUCCGUCAGACUUUCGUCCAUUGCGGAAGAUUCCCCACUGCUGCCUCCCGUAGG